rnacentral:rRNA from 1 species
AAUGAACGUUGGCGGCGUGGAUUAGGCAUGCAAGUCGAGCGAGAACCCGCAAGGGGGACAGCGGCAAACGGGGUAGGAAUGAUUGGUGACGUACCCUCGGGACGGGGAUAGCCACGGGAAACUGUGGGUAAUACCCGAUAAUCUCCCAGGUUUGAAGACCUGGGUGCAAAGGUGUGAUUCCACCGGAGGAGCGGCCAAUCUGGUAUUAGCUAGUUGGUAGGGUAACGGCCUACCAAGGCUACGAUGCAUAGGGGGUGUGAGAGCAUGGCCCCCACCACUGGGAAUGAGAUACUGCCCGGACACCUACGGGUGGCUGCAGGCGAGAAUCUUCGGCAAUGGGCGAAAGCCUGACCGAGCGACGCCGCGUGCGGGAUGAAGGCCUUCGGGUUGUAAACCGCUGUCAGAGGGGAUGAAGUUAUAGGAGGUUCUCCUUCUAUAUUGACAGAGCCUCAGAGGAAGCACGGGCUAAGUAUGUGCCAGCAGCCGCGGUAA